CGCGUGUACUGGUCCGGCCGGGCCUUUCCCUCUGUGGAACCCCAUGCCCUUCACUGGGUGUGGCGGGGAAACAGGACUUUUACUGUGAAAAAAUUAGAGUGCUCCAGGCAGGCCUAUGCUCGAAUACAUUAGCAUGGAAUAAUAGAAUAGGACGUGUGGUUCUAUUUUGUUGGUUUCUAGGACCGCCGUAAUGAUUAAUAGGGACAGUCGGGGGCAUCAGUAUUCAAUUGUCAGAGGUGAAAUUCUUGGAUUUAUUGAAGACUAACUACUGCGAAAGCAUUUGCCAAGGAUGUUUUCAUUAAUCAGGAACGAAAGUUAGGGGAUCGAAGACGAUCAGAUACCGUCGUAGUCUUAACCAUAAACUAUGCCGACUAGGGAUCGGACGGUGUUAUAUUUUGACCCGUUCGGCACCUUACGAGAAAUCAAAGUGCUUGGGCUCCAGGGGGAGUAUGGUCGCAAGGCUGAAACUUAAAGAAAUUGACGGAAGGGCACCACCAGGGGUGGAGCCUGCGGCUUAAUUUGACUCAACACGGGGAAACUCACCAGGUCCAGACACAAUGAGGAUUGACAGAUUGAGAGCUCUUUCUUGAUUUUGUGGGUGGUGGUGCAUGGCCGUUCUUAGUUGGUGGAGUGACUUGUCUGCUUAAUUGCGAUAACGAACGAGACCUUAACCUGCUAAAUAGCCCGUAUUGCUUUGGCAGUACGCUGGCUUCUUAGAGGGACUAUCGG
rnacentral:rRNA from 1 species